AUGGCCCAAUCCGCCUCAAGCUCUUCCAGAGACCCAAAUGAUCGUAGCAUAUGGGACCUCAUCUGGAAGUCAAAUGUCCCUAGGAAGGUCUGCAUAUUUGGAUGGAGAGUGGCUACUAAUACGCUAGCUACAAAGAAAAACAAGUGGAGAAGAACACUUGAAGUGGAUGCCACCUGCAAUAUCUGCGGAAAUGGUAUCGAGGACGAGCAUCAUGCGGUGGUAAUGUGCACAAAGAGUAGAGCCCUGCGAGCUGCUAUGAGGGAUGUUUGGAAUUUACCACCAGAGAGCAAAUUCUGGUUUACUGGUGAUGACUGGCUUCAAAAUCUGCUGGACACGGAGAGCGAGGAAGGGCGAGCCAAAAUCCUGCCGCUCCUAUGGCGAAGCUGGCACCUGAGAGAAGACGCCCUUCGGAAUAACGGGAGG
rnacentral:rRNA from 1 species